GACGAACGCUGGCGGCGUGCUUAACACAUGCAAGUCGAACGAAGUGGCGAACGGGUGAGUAACGCGUAAUCAACCUGCCCUUCAGAGGGGGACAACAGUUGGAAACGACUGCUAAUCCCGCAUACUGAAGGAGGGGAUUGCGUCUGAUUAGCUAGUUGGUGGGGUAACGGCCCACCAAGGCGAUGACCAGUCGGCGGUCUGAGAGGGUGAACGGCGACCACGGGAAUGAAACACGGCCCAGACUCCUACGGGAGGCAGCAGUGGGGAAGCUUCCGCAAUGGACGAAAGUCUGACGGAGCAAAGCCGCGUGAGUGAUGACGGCCUUCGGGUUGGAAAGCUCUGUUAAUCGGGACGCGGUACCGGAAUAGAAAGCCACGGCUAACUACGUGCCAGCAGCCGCGGUAAUAC
rnacentral:rRNA from 1 species